rnacentral:rRNA from 1 species
GACGAACGCUGGCGGCGUGCUUAACACAUGCAAGUCGAACGGAAAGGCCCUGCUUUUGUGGGGUGCUCGAGUGGCGAACGGGUGAGUAACACGUGAGUAACCUGCCCUUGACUUUGGGAUAACUUCAGGAAACUGGGGCUAAUACCGGAUAGGAGCUCCUGCUGCAUGGUGGGGGUUGGAAAGUUUCGGCGGUUGGGGAUGGACUCGCGGCUUAUCAGCUUGUUGGUGGGGUAGUGGCUUACCAAGGCUUUGACGGGUAGCCGGCCUGAGAGGGUGACCGGGCCAAUUGGGAACGAGAAUACGGCCAGAACCCCUCGGGGGGGAGGAGGGGGGGAAAUUGGAAAAAGGGGGGAAAGCCGAUGGCGGAACGCCCGGGGGGGGAAGGAGGGCCUUGGGGUGGAAACCCCUUUCCCCCUGGGAGGAGGGGGGGGGAACGGAAAUGGGAAAAAAAGAACCGGCUAACAACGG